rnacentral:lncRNA from 1 species
CGGUGUUCACACAAGGAGAAGAAAACAUUAUAACUAAUAAACAUGAAGCACAGAGAAAAUGCUUGAUCAAAUGAAAGUUUUCUCAUUGCAUAUAAAAAACAACAAUGAUUUUUUCAAUCUAGUAUUUUUCUUUUCCAUAUUUCUUGAGAAAGGGAGUUCUUUACAAGUUGAGAAGAUUCCUAGUGUACAAAAAUGUCACUUCUACUCUAAGUCAAUCUCCUGAAAUGUGAGAUUUAUAAUCCACUCAAGCAAAAAGUUAUACGGUUGAAGACAUCUUCGCUGCAAGGAAUUGUGAGGCCACCCAUGGAGUGCUCAUAUCUAAACUCUUCUUCAGCUUGACUCAGCAAGUCUUGGAAGGAAGGUUGGUUCAAGUAUGACAGAGGGAUCAUGAACCGCUUCAUUUUCUCUCCAACAUACACCGCAAGGUAGCCUUUUGGUGCAUUUGCUGCUCUUGAAGACGCUUGACUGACUGCAAAUAAUGUUUUUUUGCUACCAGGUAAACGAAAACCCAUUGUUGUAUUGAUUUUGUUAUAGACUUGAGAAAAAAAAUAGUUUCAGAGAACUCUUGAAUAUAAGCGGUGUAAUUUUGAAUGCUUUGGGUUGGCCUAUAUGCUUGAAGCCAGGNAUAUAUAUAGAUAAAAGGAUACGGAACUAGCUGAUGCAUAAAUUAUUGCUUAAUGAAGGAUAUGAGAUUGGAGUAAUGGGGCCAGAUGAAAGACAUGGUAUAUGGUGUUGUCUUCAAGAUCUUAUCUUAAUAAUCACUGUUACAUGUAUUUAUGGAAAGGAAAGUCUAAUGGGAACAUGUUGUAUGUCACUUAUUGAAGGUGGUGGGGGAGGGAAACUUCAUUUUUUCUAAUUUCAUGUUCUGUUGCUUAGAAUCUGGCACGUACACAAAAAAGGUGGUUCACAGUACCUUAUGAUCAUGCACUCAAUGUGAGUUCUCUUUUUACCUCUACUGUUUUGGAGCAAUCAAGUAGCUUUUCUCAAGGCUCAAUAUUAGUUGGUAUGUGGUAGAUGUAUAUCAACAUUAUAGUCGCAUUUAAAGAAACAUGUGACGAAGUCUUAGGCAUGCCAGCUCUUGUCUGUCAAUGAUGUAGCUAGAUCACAAUAAAUAAACAAGAACUAGCUUUCACCUCCAAUGAUGUGUUUGAUGUCUGCACUCCCAGUCAUUCAUAAAAGAGGUCUCUAAAACAAUACCAUGUAUUAUGAGACAGACAUCAUUUUCUGCUACCAAAGCAACUUAAUGGCCUUUGAACCUGUUUAUGGUAUUCCAGAGCCAAUGCUGAUUUUGAAACACUUAGGAACUAAGUUUUACGAUGAAAUAUAGCUACUGCAGAUUGUGUAGAAAAUUUAAAAGGAGGAAUAUAUUUUGGGGCUAAAUUGUUUUCUCUUUUGAUUAUUUUUUUUCUUACUUUCUCUACUACAUUCAAAACAUUUUAAAUAUUGAGAAGUAACUGUUAGAAUGCUAUAAGUUUAAUAAGAAUUACAUAAAUACUACUAAAUACUCUUAAAAGCUAUUUAAUAAACACUCAAACACCACUAAGCGUAUAUGAAACUAUCAGCAAGUUGAUCAUUGGACUUGAAAAACUCCAAUUUUACCCCUUCUUCUUUAACUAUUUCAUGAUUAAAAGAUGUUUGACAGUUCUGUGUUUUGUUCUUCCAUCCACUGUAAAUUGGUUGCUUGCCCAUAGCAAUGGCUUUUUUUUCAUCACAGCCAAUAGUUACAACAUCUUAUUUUCACCAAAAUCUUCAAGUAUUCUCUUCGAUUAAUUGCAAUUGCUUGUUGGGUUGCGAAGCUAGUUGAAAUAUAUCCAACCAUUCUAGAAGUAUUAGAUACAACUUGCUGCCUUUCGCAGACGUGAAAAUACACCUAAGCCGAGUGAAAGAAUAUAUGUAGAAGUGUUUUUCAUAUACCAUUCAUGCAUCUAGCCCAAUCACUAUCACAAAUGCCAACAAACAUUGCUUAAGUCUUCUUGACAUACUUUAUUCCAUAGUUCAAAGUACCUCUUAACACCAUUCUUGCUUUACCUAGAUGGAUAUCACUUGGAUUGUUCAUGAAUGGAAAAAAUAACAUCUUGCAAGCAUGAUGAUAUCAGGCCUGCCUUAAAUUACUGAGGUAAAAUAAAUUAGCAUUACAUUUCUAUAGUUUCUAGCAUUAACUUUCCUUCCUCUACAUUCUUUCUUUAGAAAACUGGAACACUGUAAGCAAAAAAACUCAAAAGGAGAUGCUUGAGCAGUCAAGUUCAUUCUCAUUGAAGAAAAAAUUUACAGACUCUGAUUUUGUCAAUUGGGUGGUCUUUCAUUUUCCAAAUUCUCAAGAAAGAGACAACUUUACAAGAUGAGAAGAUUCCUAUUGUACAAAAAUGUUACUACUAAUCUAUGUCAGCCUCAAAAAAUGAGAUUUAUUGUCCACUCAAACAAAAAAUAAUAUGUUGGAAGACAUGUUCGCUGCAAGGAAUAGUGAGGCCACCCAUGGGAUGAUCAUAUCCAAACUCUCCCUCAGCUUGACUCAACAAGUCUUGGAAUAGAGGUUGGUUCAAGUGUGAUACAGGAAUCACAAACCGUGUCAUAUUCUCUCCCACAUAGACUGCAAGGUACCCCUUUGGCGCAACCAACACUUUUGAAGAUGCUUGAUUUCUGGCAGAUGAAGUCUUUCUGAUACCGGGUAAACGAAAGCCCAUUGUUGUAUUGACUGUGUGUGAAAUAUGAGAACAAAAGGGUUUCAAGAAAUUCUUGAAAAUAAGCUUUUGAAUUUUGAAUGCUUUAAGAUGUGAAUGAUCUGUGUUGGUCCUAAACGUGUGCAGUCAUGAAUUAUAUAUAGAGAUAAAGGGCUAUCGGAGAAACCAAUUGAUAGAUGAAUUAUUGAUUCAGGAGGGAUAUGAGAUUGGAAUAAUGGGGCCAAGUUAUAGACAAGUUAUAUGGUGUUGUCUUCGAAUUAUUACAUGUUCUCCAGAAUAGAAAGAUGUAUCGUGUUAUGUAUGUUACACUUAUUAAGGGCAGUUUGCAAAUUUCAGGCUUUGUUGUUAGACUUUGGCGUCCACAGAAGUUCUGGCUCAUAGUGUCUCAUCACACAUUCAAUGUUGGUUGCCACUGAUUUAGAUUUAUCUCAAUCCUCAACAUUUACAGGUUGCUUAUUAAACCCUUGUAUUAGUUGGUACAUGAAAGGUGCAUAUAUCAACAACAUUAUAGUCUUAUUUAAAUAAACAUGUGAGAUGUCUGCAGUAUGUCUACUA